rnacentral:rRNA from 1 species
AGUGAACGCUGGCGGUAGGCCUAACACAUGCAAGUCGAACGGCAGCACAGUAAGAGCUUGCUCUUACGGGUGGCGAGUGGCGGACGGGUGAGGAAUACAUCGGAAUCUGCUUUUUCGUGGGGGAUAACGUAGGGAAACUUCCGCUAAUACCGCAUACGACCUACGGGUGAAAGCAGUGGAUCUUCGCACCUUGCGCGAUUGAAUGAGCCGAUGUCGGAUUAGCUAGUUGGCGGGGUAAAGGCCCACCAAGGCGACGAUCCGUAGCCGGUCUGAGAGGAUGAUCGGCCACACUGGAACUGAGACACGGUCCAGACUCCUACGGGAGGCAGCAGUGGGGAAUAUUGGACAAUGGGCGCAAGCCUGAUCCAGCAAUACCGCGUGGGUGAAGAAGGCCUUCGGGUUGUAAAGCCCUUUUAUUGGGAAAGAAAAGCAGCAGGUUAAUACCCCGCUGUUCUGACGGUACCCAAAGAAUAAGCACCGGCUAACUUCGUG